AGAGGGGGGUGCUGCGGUCGCGCCGCCUCCCUUUUCGCGCCGUCGGCCCUCCGUUCCCUCACGCCCGCACCCUCUUUUCGCCCUUUCAGACAGUACGGGAACUGGUUCCCUCCAGCCGUCCUCACCUGUUCUGCUGUCCCCGGAGGCACAAUACUUGACAGAUCAGACGUAGGAGAUUAGGUUUUUUCGGCGUCAAAUGUCCCUGUAGGCAACCGCCCUAGACCGGAGCUGGCCGCAAUGGACCUAAGAGUCUGCCGUCACCUUUGUCGGUGGUGGUGUGCGGGUAGAGAGCGUGGUGAUUGUGAGGAGCAACAGAGGCUCGCUGACAAAGAGGGGCGAGAGGAUUCAGUCACUUUUGAGAAAACCGUUGGAGAGGUCAGAGAAGACAUAGUAUUGUAUCAGCGUUGCUGUGAAAAUCUGUUUACAUCUGCUUUUCGUCCCCGAGAUCUUUUUUUUGUCUGAGUACAGCUCUCCUCUCAGAGACACUGAGUCAGUUCUUUGCUGGACUUGCCCUCUUGGAGAAAGAGAAUAACCUUGAGAACAGAUAGCAACCUUAAUUUCCACCGCCCCGUCUUGCCCCCAGAAGGCGAACCUGUUAAGGGGAAGGGAGACGCUUGACAGCAACUUCAUGUGACUCUGAAGGGCACACUGGAAAGUUUCCUAGAUUGAAGAACUGAAGACUGGCUGACCCUAGAAUAGAAAAGUAGUAAACAUCCCUGUGGAGACAUUCCCCUGGGAGAGGAGGUGAAGAGGACCUACUAUCAGGAAGGAGCAGGAGCCGGAGGCCUGCCCUGAAGGAGCAGAAGGCCAAGAGGCAGGGCCACUUUGAGAGUGGACGCUCACCUGGGUGAAAAAACUGAGGUUAGAGUGUACAGGUUGCCCAAGGCUACACUGGCAAUAAAUAAUGCAGCAAGCUUCAAACCUCGGUCAGGAUGACACCCAAGCCCACAUGUGCUGCUUCUCUGCAUUCAAAUGUGAGAGGUCCAAUGGGAAGAAUUUGUUGCUACAAAAUAAAACAUAUAUAAUAAAAACACAAAGUCUGUGCAGCCUGCUAUGUUGCAGUACAAAUGGAA